CCUACGGGCGGCAGCAGUGGGGGAUAUUGCACAAUGGGGGGAACCCUGAUGCAGCGACGCCGCGUGGGUGAAGAAGCGCCUCGGCGCGUAAAGCCCUGUCAGCAGGGAAGAAAAUGAAGGUACCUGAAGAAGAAGCACCGGCUAACUACGUGCCAGCAGCCGCGGUAAGACGUAGGGGGCAAGCGUUAUCCGGAUUUACUGGGUGUAAAGUGGGCGCAGACGGCGAUGCAAGCCAGGAGUGAAAGCCCGGGGCCCAAGCCCGGGACUGCUCUUGGAACUGCGUGGCUGGAGUGCAGGAGGGGCAAGCGGAAUUCCUGGUGUAGGGGUGAAAGGCGUAGAUAUCAGGAGGAACACCGGUGGCGAAGGCGGCCAGCUGGACUGCAACUGACGUUGAGGCCCGAAAGCGUGGGGAGCAAACAGGAUUAGAUACCCUGGUAGUC
rnacentral:rRNA from 1 species